UGCUUGCAUCAUGAUUUACAUUUGAGUGAGUGGCGAACUGGUGAGUAACACGUGGGAAACCUGCCCAGAAGCGGGGGAUAACACCUGGAAACAGAUGCUAAUACCGCAUAACAACUUGGACCGCAUGGUCCGAGUUUGAAAGAUGGCUUCGGCUAUCACUUUUGGAUGGUCCCGCGGCGUAUUAGCUAGAUGGUGAGGUAACGGCUCACCAUGGCAAUGAUACGUAGCCGACCUGAGAGGGUAAUCGGCCACAUUGGGACUGAGACACGGCCCAAACUCCUACGGGAGGCAGCAGUAGGGAAUCUUCCACAAUGGACGAAAGUCUGAUGGAGCAACGCCGCGUGAGUGAAGAAGGGUUUCGGCUCGUAAAACUCUGUUGUUAAAGAAGAACAUAUCUGAGAGUAACUGUUCAGGUAUUGACGGUAUUUAACCAGAAAGCCACGGCUAACUACGUGCCAGCAGCCGCGGUAAUACGUAGGUGGCAAGCGUUGUCCGGAUUUAUUGGGCGUAAAGCGAGCGCAGGCGGUUUUUUAAGUCUGAUGUGAAAGCCUUCGGCUCAACCGAAGAAGUGCAUCGGAAACUGGGAAACUUGAGUGCAGAAGAGGACAGUGGAACUCCAUGUGUAGCGGUGAAAUGCGUAGAUAUAUGGAAGAACACCAGUGGCGAAGGCGGCUGUCUGGUCUGUAACUGACGCUGAGGCUCGAAAGUAUGGGUAGCAAACAGGAUUAGAUACCCUGGUAGUCCAUACCGUAAACGAUGAAUGCUAAGUGUUGGAGGGUUUCCGCCCUUCAGUGCUGCAGCUAACGCAUUAAGCAUUCCGCCUGGGGAGUACGGCCGCAAGGCUGAGACUCAUAGGAAUUGACGGGGGCCCGCACAAGCGGUGGAGCAUGUGGUUUAAUUCGAAGCUACGCGAAGAACCUUACCAGGUCUUGACAUACUAUGCAAAUCUAAGAGAUUAGACGUUCCCUUCGGGGACAUGGAUACAGGUGGUGCAUGGUUGUCGUCAGCUC
rnacentral:rRNA from 1 species